rnacentral:rRNA from 1 species
CCUACGGGAGGCAGCAGUGGGGAAUAUUGGACAAUGGGCGAAAGCCUGAUCCAGCAAUGCCGCGUGAGUGAUGAAGGCCUUAGGGUUGUAAAGCUCUUUUACCAGGGAUGAUAAUGACAGUACCUGGAGAAUAAGCUCCGGCUAACUCCGUGCCAGCAGCCGCGGUAAUACGGAGGGAGCUAGCGUUGUUCGGAAUUACUGGGCGUAAAGCGUGCGUAGGCGGUGACUCAAGUCAGAGGUGAAAGCCUGGAGCUCAACUCCAGAACUGCCUUUGAAACUAGGUCGCUAGAAUCAUGGAGAGGUGAGUGGAAUUCCGAGUGUAGAGGUGAAAUUCGUAGAUAUUCGGAAGAACACCAGUGGCGAAGGCGGCUCACUGGACAUGUAUUGACGCUGAGGCACGAAAGCGUGGGGAGCAAACAGGAUUAGAUACCCUGGUAGUCCACGCCGUAAACGAUGAUAACUAGCUGCCAGGGCUCNUGNGNGUUGUGGNGCNGCGACGCGAGUAGUUAGUCCGCCGUGGGAGGUAACGGUCGUCGAGAGUUAAACGUUAAAGUUAGUAAGUUAGNGGCGNGAGAGNGCGACGGACGACGACGAGGGAGGAGG